CAGUCGCCGCGGUAAUACGAGGGGAGCUAGCGUUGUUCGGAAUUACUGGGCGUAAAGCGCGCGUAGGCGGCUUUUUAAGUCAGAGGUGAAAGCCCGGGGCUCAACCCCGGAUUUGCCUUUGAAACUGGAAAGCUAGAAUCUUGGAGAGGUCAGUGGAAUACCGAGUGUAGAGGUGAAAUUCGUAGAUAUUCGGAAGAACACCAGUGGCGAAGGCGACUGACUGGACAAGUAUUGACGCUGAGGUGCGAAAGCGUGGGGAGCAAACAGGAUUAGAUACCCCCGUAGUCCCUGUCUCUUAUAC
rnacentral:rRNA from 1 species